GUGCUCACCUCAGCAGCACAUAUACUGGAAUGAUACAGAAAUUAGCAUGGCACCUACACAAGAGUGACAUGCAAAUUUAUGGAGUGUUCUGUAUUUUU
rnacentral:snRNA from 1 species